rnacentral:rRNA from 1 species
GACGUAGGGCGCGAGCGUUGUCCGGAUUUAUUGGGCGUAAAGAGCUCGUAGGCGGUUUGUCGCGUCGUUCGUGAAAACUCACAGCUUAACUGUGAGCUUGCGGUCGAUACGGGCAGGCUAGAGUUCGGUAGGGGAGACUGGAAUUCCUGGUGUAGCGGUGAAAUGCGCAGAUAUCAGGAGGAACACCGAUGGCGAAGGCGGCAUCCUGGACCAACACUGACGCUGAGUGAGCGAAAGCCAGGGGAGCAAACGGG